AUGCCCUGGCAGUCAGAGGCGAUGAAGGACGUGCUAAUCUGCGAAAAGCGUCGGUAAGGUGAUAUGAACCGUUAUAACCGGCGAUGUCCGAAUGGGGAAACCCAGUGCAAUUCGUUGCACUAUCGUUAACUGAAUACAUAGGUUAACGAGGCGAACCGGGGGAACUGAAACAUCUAAGUACCCCGAGGAAAAGAAAUCAACCGAGAUUCCCCCAGUAGCGGCGAGCGAACGGGGAGCAGCCCAGAGUCUGAAUCAGCUUGUGUGUUAGUGGAACGGUCUGGAAAGUCCGACGGUACAGGGUGAUAGUCCCGUACACCAAAAUGCACAGGCUGUGAACUCGAAGAGUAGGGCGGGACACGUGGUAUCCUGUCUGAAAAUGGGGGGACCAUCCUUCAAGGCUAAAUACCCCUGACUGACCGAUAGUGAACCAGUACCGUGAGGGAAAGGCGAAAAGAACCCCGGCG
rnacentral:rRNA from 1 species